UUUAAAUCCAAGGUCGUGGCAAAACAUCUGAAGUUCAUCGCCAGGACUGUGAUGGUACAGGAAGGGAACGUGGAAAGUGCAUACAGGAUCCUAAACAGAAUCCUCACUAUGGAUGGGCUCAUUGAGGACAUUAAACGUCGGCGGUAUUAUGAGAAGCCAUGCCGCCGGCAACAGAGGGAAAGCUAUGAAAGGUGCCGGCGGAUCUACAACAUGGAAAUGGCUCGCAAGAUCAACUUCUUGAUGCGAAAGAAUCGGGCAGAUCCGUGGCAGGGCUGCUGAGGCCUGUGGAUGGGACACCCAGUGCGAAACCCUCAUCCAGUUUUGUCUCCAUCUCUUUUCUUUGUACAAUCCCAUUUCCUAAACUCAAAUCACAUGUCUGCAAGAAGGCCUCCAAAUAUAGAAACAAUCCCAUUAAAAAAAAAAAAAAAAA